rnacentral:rRNA from 1 species
GACGAACGCUGGCGGCGUGCCUAAUACAUGCAAGUAGAACGCUGAAGGAGGAGCUUGCUUCUCUGGAUGAGUUGCGAACGGGUGAGUAACGCGUAGGUAACCUGCCCGUAAGGGGGGGAUAACACUUGGAAACGAUGGAUAUAACCCCAUAUAAUAAGUUGUUCCAUAACAUUCGCUAAAAAGUGGCAUUUGCACCAUUACAUAUAGACCUGGCGUUGCAUUAGUAGGUUGGUGGGGAAACGGCGAACCAAGGCGACGAUACUUCGCCGACCUGGGAGGGGGAUCGGCCACACUGGGACUGAGACACGGCCCAGGCUCCUACGGGAGGCAGCAGUAGGGAAUCUUCGGCAAUGGACGGAAGUCUGACCGAGCAACGCCGCGUGAGUGAAGAAGGUUUUCGGAUCGUAAAGCUCUGUUGUAAGAGAAGAACGAGUGUGAGAGUGGAAAGUUCACACUGUGACGGUAUCUAACCAGAAAGGGACGGCUAACUACGUG